rnacentral:rRNA from 1 species
CAGCCGCCACGGGAAUACGGAGGGGGCUAGCGUUGUUCGGAAUUACUGGGCGUAAAGCGUACGUAGGCGGCUUUGUAAGUUAGAGGUGAAAGCCUGGUGCUCAACACCAGAACUGCCUUUAAGACUGCAUCGCUUGAACGUCGGAGAGGUGAGUGGAAUUCCGAGUGUAGAGGUGAAAUUCGUAGAUAUUCGGAAGAACACCAGUGGCGAAGGCGGCUCACUGGACGACUGUUGACGCUGAGGUGCGAAAGCGUGGGGAGCAAACAGGAUUAGAUACCCCUGUAGUCCCUGUCUCUUAUAC